rfam:Ictidomys tridecemlineatus contig064063, whole genome shotgun sequence.
UGGGUUGUGGCUCAGUGGUAGAGCACUUGCCUAGCUUGUGUGAGGCACUGGGUUCAAUCCUCAGCACCGCAU